rnacentral:rRNA from 1 species
AUUGAACGCUGGCGGAAUGCUUUACACAUGCAAGUCGAACGGUAGAGGGGGGCAACCCCUUGAGAGUGGCGAACGGGUGAGUAAUAUAUCGGAACGUGCCCAGUCGUGGGGAUAACGUAGCGAAAGUUACGCUAAUACCGCAUACGAUCUAAGGAUGAAAGCGGGGGACUCGCAAGAGCCUCGUGCGAUUGGAGCGGCCGAUAUCAGAUUAGGUAGUUGGUGGGGUAAAGGCUCACCAAGCCAACGAUCUGUAGCUGGUCUGAGAGGACGACCAGCCACACUGGAACUGAGACACGGUCCAGACUCCUACGGGAGGCAGCAGUGGGGGAAUUUUGGACAAUGGACGCAAGUCUGAUCCAGCCAUUCCGCGUGCAGGAUGAAGGCCCUCGGGUUGUAAACU